rnacentral:SRP_RNA from 1 species
GCCCGGUGUGGUGGCGGCCGCCUGUAGUCCCAGCUACUAGGGAGGCUGAGGCAGGAGAAUGGCAUGAACCCGGGAGGCGGAGCUUGUAGUGAGCCGAGAUGGCGCCACUGCACUCCAGCCUGGGCGAGAGUACGAGACUGUAUCAAAAAAAAAAAAACAACAAAAUAUUUAAAAAUUGUUUUUUUGAGGUGGAGUGUCUCUCUGUCGCCCAGGCUGGAGUGCAGUGGCGCCAUCUCGGCUUAUUGCAGACUCCGCCUCCCGGGUUCACGCCAUUCUCCUGCCUCA